rnacentral:lncRNA from 1 species
AUAAAACAAUAGGAAACAAAUGUGUAAGGUAAAAACACCUGUGGUCGGGAGAAUUCUAAAGAUGUCCUCCCAGGAUUCUGGUCGCCUAGUUAUUCAGUCAAACACCAGUCUAGGCGUUGCUGUGAAGGGACUUUGAGACGGAAUUAAGUUUACUCAUCAGCUGACCUUAAAAUAGGGAACUUAUCCUGGAUUAUCAAGGUGGGACCAAUGUAAUCACAUAAGCCCUUAGAAACAGAAGAGGAAAGCAAAAGAGUUGCAGCAGAAGGAGAAAUCAGAGAGAUUCAAAGCACAGAAAGGACUCAACCCACUGCUGCCUGCUGCCGUUGAAGACGGAGCGGACAAUGUAAAAGGAAUGUGGGUAGUCUUAAGAAGCUGAGAGAGGCUCCUGGCUGACAGCCAGCAAGGAACAGGAUCCUCAGCCCUGCAGCCACAAGGAACUGAAUUCAGCCAACCGCCUGAAUGAGCAUAAAGCCUCCAGAUCAGAGCCCAGCUGCCCAAGAACUUGAUUUCCGCCUUGUGAGACCCACAGCAGAAAAUCCAGGCAAGCUCACCUGGACUUCUGACCUACAGAACUGUCAGAAGUUGAUGUCCUCGUUUUUGCAGAUGUUGCCAUCUUACAGUGAAACCUACACGGUUGCAGCAGGACCCUGGCAAAUUGCUCCAGCUCUAAGUGUCCAAAAAUUACCUCGGCACUGUUAUGUACCGGCAUGUUGCCUUGAGCUCGUUAUGUAAUGGCAUAGAACUCAUUAUGUAGUAGCCUGCACAUAUGCCCUGAUCGGGCCCAGCUGUUAUACAGUUGUAACACAUCCUCUGCACUCUGGUGUAUAAAAUCUCCAAAUGCACUGAGCUUGGUUGGGGGGACGGGGGGAGAGGGACACUGCUUUGGGAGCCAUCCCCGAUGUUCUCCAUUGUUUGUGCAAGCAAU